rnacentral:rRNA from 1 species
GACGUAGGGCGCGAGCGUUGUCCGGAUUUAUUGGGCGUAAAGAGCUCGUAGGCGGCUUGUUGCGUCGGCUGUGAAAUCCCAUGGCUCAACUGUGGGCUUGCAGCCGAUACGGGCGGGCUAGAGUUCGGUAGGGGAGACUGGAAUUCCUGGUGUAGCGGUGAAAUGCGCAGAUAUCAGGAGGAACACCAAUAGCGAAGGCAGCUCGCUGGGACGUUACUGACACUGAGGCGCGAAAGCGUGGGGAGCGAACAGG